rnacentral:lncRNA from 1 species
UCCAAUGUUCUUUUGUCUUAAUUUCCAAAAAUCAUAAUUUUUUUUAAUUUCCAUUAGUAAUGAUUUUUUUUUUUUUUACGGAAUUUGAGACAGACAGGUAUCAAAUGUUUAGAGAAAUAAGGAGUCGAGUGAUGAUACCAGAGCAAAAAAUAGUACAAGGAUCAAACAAAGGCAAGAAAGAAAUUAGCAGGGUAAAAAAAAGGACUAGUCUCCUCUCUCUCUCUCUCUCUCUCUGAAAAUGAUAAAAACUUAUUGUGAUGUCGAUUACAAGCAUAAAAUCUUUCGACCCCAUCCCUGUGAGGGUGCUGCUGCUGCUGCGUGUGGACCAGACCACGUUAAUGGAAAAUAGAUUUCAGAACUUCCUUAUAUUUACUGUCCUAACUUUUUGAAACAAUCUAAUGUAAUUCCCUGUCCCAAGUUUUCUAUACAUCAAGGUGUAUUUGGCUUUCUUGUAGUUUCUGUGAUUGCGGAAAAGAUUGCGGUCUGUCUUCAUUAAACAUACACUUUUAAAUCUAAAUCUAUGAUUAUGCAAAACAUAGUGUUACACUGU